UACGUAGGGAGCAAGCGUUGUCCGGAAUCAUUGGGCGUAAAGCGCGCGUAGGCGGCCCGAUAAGUCCGCUGUGAAAGUCAACGGCUCAACUGUUGGAUGCCGGUGGAUACUGUCGGGCUAGAGUACGGAAGAGGCAAGUGGAAUUCCUGGUGUAGCGGUGGAAUGCGCAGAUAUCAGGAGGAACACCAAUAGCGAAGGCAGCUCGCUGGGACGGUACUGACACUGAGGCGCGAAAGCGUGGGGAGCGAACAGG
rnacentral:rRNA from 1 species